GCUCCUGCACGCACUGCUCCUCGAACUCAUGCAGCUUCUUUAGCUCCUCGUCGCUAAGGAAGAGCUCUGUGUGAAGGGAGAAGUGUCAGCCACAUGAAAAACAAGAAGAAUCACGGCCGCUGAGACGCAUAAUGAUGAUGUAGAUGUGGCUUAAAAUGAUCAUCGGUGGGGGCAGGACUGGUCUGUCAUGAAAUGUCAUUAUCAGCUGAUAUCGCUGGAACUUCCACACCUGAUUGGAUAUUGAUUUUACUUCAAAGAAGGCUCACGAUGUAGGAGAUGACGAUCCACUCCUGGAGGGACGGCCAGCCAUCCAUCCGCACCAGGAUGACGUAGUUAAACAGCAGCAGGUUGACACAUCUAAAAGAAUCUUUGUUUCCAACUGGACUGACUCAUUGAGAGGAAACCUUCACUGCACCUCACCAGUGCAGACAGAAGACCUGGAGGCAGGACGGGAGGCAUUUUAUACUUCAGCACGAUAUGGGCCUGACUUUUCAUUUUCUACAUAGAGACAUAUUUGUUGGUGCUGUCAUCCUCAUGGGGAAACUAUGAAGUUGCAAACAUUAU
rnacentral:antisense_RNA from 1 species